AUGAGCCCGGGUGCAGAUUCGCCGCACUCCCUUCUCAUCCCGUUUCUCUUCUUUGUGCCGCCGCCUGCGCUUGCCCCCUUCAUCUCCGCCGCCUCGUCUCCUCCUCCUUCACCACCACCCCCUCCCCUGCCUCCGCACCCCAAGGUGGAGGAGUUCCCCAAGGCCAUUGUGUGGCUGCUGCUCAAGACAAGCUCGCCCGGGUCACCGUGGCCGGCGCCGGCGAAGGUGGAAGGCGGAGGUGUCAUGAACAAGGACACCAUGGCCGCCUUCACCGAAAGCGCCCACAUCUUCAUCCACUGCCUCUCCACCACAUUGGUUGAUGCAAAAACUGCAACUAGAGGCCUUGUUGAUUGUACCCAAAUGACAUCUCUAGGUUUCAUAAUUUAUCGAAGAUUGCAGGGUAACUAAUUGCACCUUAUGGAGAAGGAGCAGGCCGUGGAGGAGUGCAAGCAGCAGGUUCCCGGUGACUGCAAAUCUGAAACUGAAGAUAGGGCUGAUUGCAUUGGUUCUGAUUGCUUGCAGAACUUGUGGCAUGCUGGCCCUGGAGUAGUCGGACCCUGCCAAGAAAGAGGAGCGGGAGAUGAGGAGCGCAACAUUUAGUGUACAAUGGUGCAUGAUGUGGCAGUUAGGACCAGGACACGAGGAACACGACACUGGGUGUAUGAAAGAUUAGUAGGAAGAAUGUUAAUCACGGUGUGUGAAAAGAAAAUGCGAGCUCAGCUGAUGGAUUGCGUACUAUUUGGCUGAGUUGUUUUGUCCUAAAGAUACAAUCAAGCUGAAGAGUUCUUUUUGUAUGGAAAUUCACUAUGGAAAUCGAAACAAUGGUACUCUGCACAACCGUUUACUUUCUUGCAUCGAUUCUUCAUUAUGUAAGUGAAACCUUUUCUAUUUGGUAAAAUAAGAGUGAGCUCAUGCUUGAACUUCCACCAUGUAUGUUAACACUUGGAUACUGUAUCAACCCAGUAAUCCUCCGAUCCUUCAUUGUUUUCCCUUGCAUUGCCUCCUUUAACUAUUCAGCAGGACCUUUGAAAAGAAUGAUUUUGGUUAUAUAAUUUAUUAUGUUUUGUUUCACCUUCGAGAGGUAGAAUGUAAAGUAGGCUGGUAUUUUCAUUCUGUUCAUAUGCAGAUAUUUGAUAUAGGUGAAUAUAUACCUUUCGAUAGGUGAAUGUGCUCUCCAUUAAUAUCACUCAUAUAUUUGAGCUUCAGAGAAGGAUAUCUAUGCCAUUUUUUUUUGUUUUUUGAACAAAAGAGUGUUCUAUGUGUAUCGUUAAGAGGACGAAGCAGCAAAAUUAUCUACGCAAUUUAGCAGGAUAUGGCUGAUACGUACAGAGUGGCUUUACUUAGGUCUGGUGUUACUACUAUUUCUUUCAUUGUAAAACUGCAGUGCAGCAGAGUUUAUAGAUAGAUAUAUAAUGGUAUUUGAUGUUUCCAUGUAGUUUUAAAACAACCUCCUAGCACUGUUCAUUUUAGAUAGAUAUAUAAUGGUAUGAGAUCGACUAUGUCCCCUCCAUUGAUGUGCUUCUCCAGAUUUGAGGAAUCGUUUGGGUUUUAUCUACUUGUCCAUGAAGGAUGCUUCAUGAUGAAAAUUCCUCAUAUAAUGUUUUUUGAGAGGAAGAGUUUAGGGAGUACUAUAUCUCUCAAGAUAUGCCAGAGAAUUGAAUAUGAACUCACAUAAAAGAAUUGAGAUUACAAACGUAGAGGCUUCACUAGAAGAGAGGCCCUUGCUGUAGAUCACAAGAGACAUGUUUUUUGUAGGUACAAGAACCAUAUUGCUAUUUACGAUUAUCUCCCAGCAAUGAAAGUGUAUGUGACAAACAUGAAUAAGCUAGGGGAAAAGUCAACUGCUCUCUUCCUUUUUGUUUGAGUGUUAACUUUUGUUUUCAAUUUCCAACUUUGUGCAACUAUUUUCUAUAUAUGUAUAGGUGCUUGCUAUGUUAGAGAUAAAAAAGGAUCUUCAUUGCAACAAGCCCCGUGGGGGUUACAGCAAGCCAUGUGAGCACAGGGCAUGGAGAAAUGCCAGUAUUCUUGAAAUCCCUUGUUGCAUUUGUUCUUUGUCCUCCUGGGAUGUUAGUAAGACAUCCUUUUCUUAGGUAUUGAGUAGGAUUUUAGAUGCACAAUUUGUUAAAAAAAUCAAUGCUUAAGCUGACGAUAAGGUGAUGUUUGGCCUUGGCCUUUUGUUCUAAUCAUUUGUUGUUAUUAUCACAUAUCAUUUCAUCAAUUUUUUGGCUUCAUUCUUCCCUUCCUACUUGCGGCAGGUAGAAGACUCGGGCAACAGUUAAUGGACAAGCACUAUAUACACAAUGCAUCUCUGCUAAUAUAGCUUACUUUAUAAAGCCAUCAAUGUAUGCUAUUAUCAAGCGAUUUGAAUAUUUUAUUUUAAGCUAUCAUGUAAUGGAAUAUAACUAUCCUUAACUUGUUCUAAAUCAGUCUAAUAUGCAUGGUUUGAAUCCUCGGCUCGCUCUUCCUUUUGGCUUGAUAUGAAUAUUUUCUUUCAAGCUAUCAUGUAAUGGAAUGUAAGUAUUUAUUAAGUUGGUUUAAAUCAAUCUCAUAUGCAUGAUUUUAAUACUCGGCUUACUCUUGCUUUUUGCGCCAUGGGCACAACGGGUCAUCUAGCAUGAACAAAGGACAAGCAUAUGCUUUCGCCUUCAAAUGCACUUCCAAGGGACUGCGCCUGAUCGUCUACUCAAUAUAAGCAAGUUGCAAGAGCCCUUUGUUAUUAUAACUUAGCAUUAGUAUAGAUGCCUACCAAGACUUAUGUA